UUUAAAGUCUAAUCUGCCCUAUGAGAUAUUAAAUGGCCGCGGUACUUUGACCGUGCAAAGGUAGCAUAAUAAUUAGUUUUUUAAUUGAAAGCUGGAAUGAAUGAUUGGACGAGAAAAUGGCUGUCUCAAUUUAAUUUUAUUAGAAUUUUAUUUUUAAGUAAGAAAGCUUAAAUAAUAUUAAAAGACGAGAAGACCCUAUAGAGUUUUAUAAUUAAUAGAUUAUUAGUUUUUUAGAGAUAUUUUAUUGAUAGUUGGUUAAUUAUUUUGUUGGGGCGAUAGAAAAAUUUAAUAAACUUUUUUUUUAGUUUAACAUUAAUUUAUGGUUUAAUGAUCCAUUUUUUAUGAUUAUAAGAUUAAGUUACCUUAGGGAUAACAGCGUAAUUUUUUUCUAGAGUUCUUAUCGAAAAAAAAGGUUGCGACCUCGAUGUUGGAUUAAAAUUAAUGUUUGGUGUAGAGGCUAGACAAUUAGGUCUGUUCGACUUUUGAAAUUUUACA
rnacentral:rRNA from 1 species